CAAUAAUUUUGCGACAGGUUAUAAACAAACCAGAACUCGUUUAAGUUUGACAGCAACGCGCGCGAGCUAAGAGACUAUCGCCAGCAUCGACUUUACAUCGGCGUUUGUUUGCUGAAAGCCAUCUCUUCAAGUGAAACUCUCCUUUAAGGAAGACAAAGAAGCCAUUGAAAGCGGAUUGGUAGAGUAAGAGCUUGGCUUAAGGUUUUUCUUUGCGUUUAAUCGCUCCAUUUCCUAUCAUUGCGAUUCGCUUUGUGUUAUUUUUAUAACUGGAUCGUGCUGUUAGUCUUAUCUGGAGAGAGUAUUCUGCGGUCUGUUUCUUUUUGAGUCUGCACACAGUCAAGACAACCAUCUUAAUUAUCAACAGUCCUAAGUUUUCAGCUGAACGGAUGCUGGUGGAGGCCUGGGGCUGGGGCUAUUUGCCAUGCUUAUUGGCUGUGUUGGUGUUAUGUAGCGUGACCCUGACUUGGGACGCCCCUCUUUUUGCCCCAUAUCGUGAACAUUAUGUGUCUAAGGCGCAUUAUCAUGGAGUUGAUGUCUUCACAGAGGCCCUCCAUUCGCCUGUGGGGCCUGAACAGUUCAUGGAGCAUUUUUAUGUGUGCUACGGAAGAGAUGGACGGAAAACGUACUUUAAAAAACAGGACCAAAAUUAUUUCUCUAACCGAAGGUACUGGGUGAUUAGUUCUUCCGGUAAAUUUGUGGCUUCCAUGCGAACCUGUUGAUGUAGAGGACACAUACUGUAUGAUAGGAGUUACAUAACCUUCAAGAAAUCUCUUCGUAGACGUAUGAACAAAUGCUUAAGAUAACACCUAUCACAAAUACUAAAAAUAAUACUCGUUCGCAUCCAGAUCACCUUGCGAGUGAUGAAUUAGUUGUCAUUGCAGGUUCGGUAGGUUAGCGUCAAACUCGUUCAUGGGGCUAAUAUUUACCACAACAUUUUGUUGCACUUAACUGUAACGUGCAAAUAUAGCUUAAAAGCAAGGACCAAAAACACCACCUACAGAACGUUGUCACUCAAAUAGUGAGCAGCUACGCAAAUUUAUUAGAACACUUUAUUUAGGACAACAAAAUGGCUGCUGUGACGUCGCGUGAACACAAACGCCAACAGCUUAAAGAUGGACAUUCACACAGGAUUACACAAGAAUCUGAAGAAAGCAGACAUCUUCUGUGGAUAGUCUGGCUUAAGUUGCAGUAGGAAGAUGGGGUUACAAAUUAUUUUAUGAAGUUAUGAUCAAACAAAUCUGAUCUUAUAUCCGCGGCGAGUAUUGUUGUAGUAUGGGGUACAUAUGAAAAUGAUUCUGAUUGGUCUAAGUCUGCAAGAUAAUGAAUAAGACAUAACAAAAAAAAAGACAUUUAAAAAAAAGGUGAAUGUGUGUAAUAACUUUUCUCAGACUUGGUGAAGUACUAAAUACAAAAUAACGACAGUCUUUAACCAGCUAACAUUUACAUUUUUAUAAUCCUUCAAUGUAUAAGAACUAACAAAUUCAGAAUCUUUUAAACUAAACAUUUCCUCUCGUUGAUGUAAUGAGUGAAUGAUGGAAUCAACCUAGGGCCCAGGGCCUCUCUUUUUCUCUAUCUCUUACCCCAUCGCAUUGAAGGGGGCAAGGGGAGGGGGCUGGGGGGUUUUGCACUACUUAAAAUGAAAGUGAGCUGUAAUUUUACAAGAAGUGAUGCAAAGUUACUUUAGAGGCCUUCACAAAUGGAACACACAUAUGCCAAAAAACACCCUACACUAAAUAGUUGGAAUCUGGAAGAAACAGUAGUCAUCUUGGCAAGGGUAGUCCUGAAAAAGAGCAGUGUUUCAUCGUGACUGAGAUUUUAAAACUCAUUUCAAAGUCAUCCUCACAUUUAAGGGCUCUUAUGAAGACUUUCCAAUAAAGACUUUCCCUCAAUACAUUCCCCUCAGGUUGUAAAAAAUCUCAGUCACAGUUAAAGGCAAUGAUCCUUACAGAACAACAAACACCAAAACAAUCAGAAUACUCAUUCCUGAGGAAUAUAAUUAAUGCCACUAUCAAGAACGUAUUUUAUACUAAAGAUUAAUUGUGGCAAAGUCAUAUGAAGGCUACAUAUGUCUGGUGCACUGUACACUGGAGAUCAAUCAUGAAUGUGAUUUCUGUUCCAAGACCAGCCACAGAACCCAGCAUGAAGACUUUGCUAAACUUAGUGAUGGGAUUAAGUAAACACUUGGAAUGCACAGGACACUUAUACAGAAUGAACCUUACAAUGGUAUCAAGUUUAAUAAGGGCUUCUGAUUGCAGAUGAAGAAACAUUAUGGAAGAGAGAGAGUCAUUAAUUGUACACAACUACACUUUUGAAGUACCUGUACUCUUAACUGUCACUUAAUCCUCUAAUUCAUUAUUACUGUUCACAGCUCUCCUUCGAUUUACUUAUUUGAGUUGGUGUGGUAUACAAUU